rnacentral:lncRNA from 1 species
UAUAUGUAGAUAUUUACGUCCAAAGUUUGGUCUUAUGCGUACUCAUUUGGAACUUUAGUCUAUGAUGUAAUUUUCCAACUUCAAAAUUUUCCGGGGUGCUACACAAUCCAAAAAUCAUUCAAUUUGUCCCCAUCCGCGAAUCUAACCGAUUCUUUUCUUUUUUCAUCACUAAAAUCCAAAAACCCCAAAUCGAACCCUAGACCUAAAGUAUGAAACAGAAAAAUCUUAUGUUCUUCCUUCACCUCUCAAAUCGGAGCAUACAUGCCAAAUUCCAUCAUCGUUAUUCGUGUCCAGAGGUCAGACGUAGUGACCUUUGGACAUUAGAGCUUUGUCUGAUGAGGUUUCUCAUUCAACGAUCGAUUAUUGUGCCCAGGUAAUGUUCUUCACUAUCUCCCCUCUAACCCUGGAAAAAUUUAACCGUGUUUCUAUCAUCAUUCACUACUUGUUAUUUUCCGCUAUCUAAUUUUUGGUUGAUCGGAACCCUAAGUGGCUCGAAUGCCGCUAUAAAAGGAGCAUUCAAUACUACCACGCAUCUAAUACUAUCAGAGACACAAAAGAAAGAGAGAAAAGAGUUAAAAUUUAAGGUUUUCUCACUAAGUCGAGGGAUACUUUCUAAUUGCUUAGUGUUUCUUUCUCUUUCAUUCUCCGGUUUAAAUUCAACUGCUGUAUUGGUCUUGAGUUUGGAUUCCUAAAUGGUUGUUGAACUACUUCUACUUGGUUUCCUGCCCUAUAGAAGGUCAGUAAUAUUGACCCACUCUUUACUUUGAAUUGAUGGUGUAGUUUUGUGAUCUUAAUGAUUACUUAGCUGAUUCUUUAUUGUUUAUGUUAGAUAUUAGUAAUUAAAGGUCAUAUUUGUUAUGUCCUAUAUUAAUAUGCUAUUUUCACUGUUAAACUAGGAAUUUUUUGAUUAAGUUAUGUUGUAUUAAAACUAUCAUUAAAUCUGUGGUAUUGACUCCUAUUCUUCAUGAUUCAAUGACUUUAUAUUAAGUGAUAUCCUUAUGAUUAACCUUGCUAAGCUUUUUUGAUUAAACAAAGUUAACUUUUGUACGGAUUUUGUGCAUAACUCACUCCUGCUAGUUAAACAACAAUCUUAUGAGCACCAUGUCAACUAAGUUAACUGAACCAUAUCCUUGAACUCUCAUUAGUGUUUGUUAAGAUUUCAGACCUCUAGGAUAGCUUGAUCCUCUUGCUUGUGCCACUGUGUUGAUCUUAUGAAUGGAUUUUCCAGCAGCUCAUGUUAUGUUUGGCCUGUCUACUUUAAUAACUUUAGUUAAUAGAUCUGUUGCUGAUAUCCUGCUUGUUCUACACACUCAGUAAUCCAUGUAGCUAUAAUACUGUUACCCUUAGACUCUAUUGAGCCUCAUGAUUGAUUGAUCUAGAUAUUAUGCUGAUAAUGUUGUAUAUAAUCUUGUUUGUUAACCAAGCGGUUGGAAUAAAAUCAGGCUUCUAAACGUCUUUUGAAAAUAUUGCCAAUACCUGCCACAGUGUGCCUGUGAUGUUCUGCUCUUUUGAUCCAGUUCCUUCCCUCGUGAUAGCUUGUUUGACUCUAAUUAGUAUUCCGCUCAUAUUAUUGUAAUAGAACAAUCUCUAUACGUUCUCUGUAAUGACUGAAAAUCAUGUAAUAAACCUUGUUAAUGUGUUAGAGAACCUGCACUCAGGUCUAAAUAUAAUUUGAUUAAGAUAGAUCUCUAUGGUGAGUGUUGACAUUUGUCAUAUCAUGCUUGUUUGAGUCCCAAGAUGAAAACCACAUGAAACUCCCUGUUGUCAUGAUAAUCAUAUGACUCUUCUUAAUUUUUAUAUCUAAGUUCAUGGUUGUUAUGACCGUACGACUGUGUCCAUAGAGUAUAUUAUAACAUUAGCUUGAUGAAGUUUACCCAUGCAUUUAUGUGUUAACAUGUCAUAGCCUUGAUCUUCCUAUGAUGCUGAAUUGGUUUGAGUUCAGUGAGUGAUCCUCUAUAAGAUACUGUCCCUAAUGAUCUAUCCUUGUUAAAUUAUUUCAGCUGUUAAGCUGAGUCAUGAUAUUGUAAUGACCUAUAUACAAAUUCAUGCACUAAGUUUUGCUAGUGAACCUGUUUUCAUAUCCAGAUUUUUAGUGUUGUGACUUGUUCGCCUAACUAUUAAAAUGAUGAGACCUUAAUGAGAUGUAUGCCUGAUGAAUCUUUCAAAAGUAUCUGUGAAUUAUCCUUUAUGAUCUCAACUUACUUAGAAGAAUUCUGAAAUACUAAACUCUUAGUUGAGCACAUAAAAUAUAUACAUGUGCUCGUCUCUGUAUGAUACUUGUAUGUUAACACUUCUGAGCCUAAAGAGAUAAGUAAAGAGGCAUAUCUAUGCGCACUUGACUACCCGUGCCCUAUAACCAUGCUUCAUUAUACCCCCACAGUGACUUCAUGCCUGCUGUAGUGCCCUGUCCUAACACCCUAUGCUUGAUAUAAAUUUCCCUAAUCCUGCUGUGGUGCCCUGGGUUGUUCUUUUGGCUCUGAUGAUGAACUAUAGCAUCCUAUUUGUUCACAAUUGUUGAUUUUUUUGCGUGUUCGAACCUUCAAGGGGUUUACCAUGACUUUUUCAUAUACUGUUUGUAUCUUGGUAAUAUGAAAUUACUUUGUUGAUUCUUUUAUUUGUAUUUAAGCCUUUGAGGAAGAUUAAAAGUGGGUGAUUAAUGGUAUUUGGGUAUGAAACUUGAUUUGUGGAUAAGACACCCUCCCUGACACAAGCACUGCUCGGGGUCCAUGAGACCCUCGUGAACUCUGAAGUGCCAGGGGUCUACAAGGGAUAUUUUAUCCAUAAAUAAGUAUUUACUCUAAGCCUUUAAUUACUAACUCCUAUUAAUCCUCAUAGGAUUAGCAUAAAUAAAAUUUCUCUCGCCACAUUCUCUAGCUCUUUAUUAUUAUUUUUUCAUGAUCAUUAUCUUAUUUUAUUUUUAUAUUUGAUAUACACUAAUUAUCUUUUUUUUGUAUGCAUGUUUUGAAAUUGGGUUCCACUGGGAACUCGUGCCCAAAUUCAAAUGCAGCAUGCUCCCUUGUCUGCAUGAUGGAGUAUGCCACUUGAUCCUAAUCUCGCUGGUCCUAGUUAAGCUUACAAGCUAAUUGUCAAGAGUCUAGCCUCUCUCCUUAUUUAUUUUAAAUCCUAUUCACUGUUGUUUGUUAUUUCGUAUAUAUGUAUCUCUGAAUUACUAAGUUAUUUUUGGAUUUGAAACUUUGAUCUUUUUAGGAAAGUAGGCAAACAAAGGAGCAUAGGUAAAAGAAUCAAAUCAGAAAUUCUGCACUUACCCUUUAAUUUUUGGUCACUUAUCAAUGUCAAACUUAUUUUCUUAACAAAAUCAAAGACCCAAUCUUGGUAUCACUGACGAUUUUUAAUAAGUGUAGAUUUUGGCUGAUUCAAAGAAAAAACGAAUUCUCUUUGAAAAAUCAAAUUGCAAAAAUAAUCUCAGAAACUGUCUUCAAGAAGUAAAAUCAAAACAUAACCCAAAUUUGCAAAUGAUGAACUUCAUGAGUUUUUUAAACACGCGGCUUUUUCUUUGCAACUGAUUUUCAAAUACGGUAUACAACAUAGUCCCUUACUUUACUAAGCUACAUACCACCUUUUAAAACACACACUCAACCUCUUUCAAACAAAGAAUGUUUACAAGAUCUUUUGUAGAAAAAGCAUAUCUAGUCCUAAACUUUGUAAGUAUACAUGCAUAUUUCAAAAGAUGAUUUACUACUCAAAAACAUAUAGCUUCUUUUCUUUCCAAAGUAUACACAACCUUCUUAAAAUUGUGAAUUUUAGAUAAAGACUUAGAACAUUUCUCAUAAGAUUUUAAACACAAGAUUAAACAGAAUAUAGUCAUUUCUUUCCCCUAACCUAGCCUAAGCCUAAGGAGCUACCUUAUGUAGAUUUUGGGGGAUGUCUAAUACCUUUCCCUUAGAAUAACUAGAACCCUUGCCCGAAUCUUAUUGAUUAGCAGAAGAACUAUUAGUUUUAUUUUAUUUUGACUAGUGCAAAAUAGGCUGCAACAACAUGGCGACUCCGCUGGGGACUUUUACACUUAGGUUCUGACCUUAGCAGACUUAGGCUAGACUUUAACUUUGAGGAUGUUUUGUUAAAUUCUGUUCUAAUUAUGUUUAACCUGCAAAUACAUGUUUACUCGCUUUACUCUACUUGCUUACACUUUCAACAUGUUGAUACAUGGUUACUUGUUUAUUUAUAUUGCUGCUUUAUAACAAUUAUUUGUUACUGCUUUAUACACUGUCAUCACAUCUUUCCUAUCGAGUCUUGGCCAUACACAAUCACACACAAAUGACACACAAGGGUUGUCUUUUAUACCCCUCCGAAUCUUCUUUCAAAACUCUCUAGUUUCAAAGGUCUCGUAGUAAUUCAGUCCAACUCCAAAAUUAAGAAACACUCUACUCUUAGCAAACAUAGGUCAUGCUGCAUAAACUUUAGCUAGGUCAAUCCUUGGUAUUGACUCACAAUUAGGAAAUCUACCUUAAUAUCAAUGGGCUAUGCACCCAACGAUAUGGUUUUUGUGGAACGACGAACUAAUCCAGAUAAGACACUAAAGAUUCGAAGCAAAUACUUACCAAACUUUUCACCUCUUUAGAUGGAAAUCAACUACAACGUCGCAGAGAUUAACAUGGUCAUGGGUGCACCUCACAAAUUAAAGCACUGGUGGAGGAACAUUCAACGAGAGCAUGAGAAUAAGAUCAAAACACACCUAGGAGCACUAACAGCAUUGAUGAACAUUCGAGCCGACAAAGUACUCACUAGGCUGUUGAUAGAGUUUUGGGAUCCAGUCAAGGUGGUCUUUAAAUUUGUUGAUUGUGAGUUGAUGCUGACGCUGGAGAACAUUACCAGCUUCAUGGAGUUACCCUUCGCAGGGCGGAAACCAAUACUCCCAAUCGUCACGCUAGAUCACAAGUUCCUCUAUGCAUUGGGUCUGAUAAGCAACAAAAAUGUGAGAAAUGUUAAAGAGGGAUGGGUGAGUUUGGACCAUCUAUUUGACAGAUUCGGGCUCCGAGAGAGCUAUGAGUGGCAUCUUGAAAAAUUCCAGUGCGAUCAAGCAUCAUGGGAGAGCCUCCGCCCCUUAACCUUUUCUCUAGCACUAUUGGGACUACUGGUUUUCCCAUAAAGAAAGGGACAAAUCAAUAUCAACAUGCUUCCCCUGGUUUUGGCAACCUUUCGAGGAAAUCUGCAAGUCACCCUCGUUCCUAUGAUACUUCCAGAGAAAUUAGGAGCACUAUCAGCAUGCUACAGAGGAUAUGAUUUCUUCAGAGGCUGUAACUUGUUACUACAUAUAUGGGAUACAAAGCACUUCUUCCAGAGAGAGACCACCGUUGACUAUUUUUGGCGUCAGUAACAUGAUCCGAAGCCAUAAAAAAAGGAUGAGGCACUAGGUUACGCCACAUGGCUAGGAGGAAUGGCGGGAAAUGCUGACCUAUGUUAGUAGAGAAUUCAUAAAUUGAAAACUUUCCUGGUUGAGUGGCAGGGCAAUCUUGAGAAGCCCGGGGAAGUACUUCAUUGAGUUUGUAGGACUGGAAGGGAUUUAGUCAUAUGCACCUCUGAGGGUUCUGAGGCAAAUCGGUCUGAUUCAAGACAUACCUCUCUGGUCAAGAAUGGUUUUAUAUGAGGAUGAUUACGACGGAUAAAUUCUGAUCCCGAGGGUGAGGAGGCUCUAAGAUGCAUGGAAUGACUUGAUCACAAUGGCAAUGAGACAAAAUCCCUGGUGCACGCAUGAGUACUUUGUAUGGAUCAACAAAGAAGACGAGUUGGCCAGUCCCACUAGAGAGGGAUUGACCGGAUUGGAGGAUUUAGUAGCAGCUCAACAGAUAUAUCACAAGGUCCUUCCCCACUAUCUCGUUACCACCGCCAUGCAUCGAUAAGUAGUCCCCGAAUCGUUUGACCACAUGCUUCCACCAUCGGAUGACGACCAACAGGUGAUUGAAUACAUAUAGAUUAAGUCUGAAACAGAGCCAGAGGAGGAUCUUGAGGAGGAACCAGAGUACAACAAUAAUGAGGAUGAGGAGGAGGUUGAAGAGACCCCGAGGAAGAACUGGAAGAAGAAAGCUUGGGAGGAGACUCCAUGGACGAUUAUUAAGUUGCUGAUUAAUUUCCCUUUCUUGUACCUUUUCAUUCCCUAAGGGAGGAUCUAUAAGCCCAUGUAAUCUUUUAUAAACAUUUGAGAAUCAUGUUGUAUCCAUUAACAAUUUUUCCCAUCUUGUAUCAAGUGAUGAAGCCUUAUUGUAACCCACAAAUCUUAUCUAUGAAAAUUAAAGUUUAUUCCGGACCUGAAUGUGUCAAAGUUUAAUUGUUUGUCAAACGCUGGCGACAUAGGCCUACCUCCGACAAAGAGAGGUCCUUAUGUGUAUUAGGAUACUUGUGUGAAUACGUGAACUAACUGCUCUAUGUGAUUAUAUUUGUGUAACCCUGAAGCUGACUUUUACUUUUCUUUAUUUUCGCUUUAUCGCUUAUAUUACCUUCGAAAUAGAGGUUGAUUUAUGUUGAUACAUAAAACUGGCCGAGCCACCGUACAAUUUGAGAUCCAAGGGGAAGAUGACCGCAACAGAUAAACUGGCUGGAAAUGCUCUAGUGGUAGCCGACAACCCAGGGGGAUCGGGAGGAAAGGAUGAUACAUGAAAUGACGAACAUGUUGCCCGAGUGGAAUAGGAAAUGGAGUCACUGCGAGAAGAGGUACAACAAAUCCGGGAGUCGGCACACCUGGUCGUGACGAUGUUUUCGCAACCACCCUGCUUCCCUUCCCUAGAUUCAAUCCCUGACCAUUUCCCUUCAUCAACCCAACAAACAACUAAUAUCCCAACUUCUAUCACCUUAAACCACACAACUCAAGUCAUACCACCAGCAACCCCCUCAAAUCCACCCAACCCUCCUAUAAACACACCCUAUGUUCCAAACUAUGGCCAAGCACCGCAAAAUCCACCAGCCACCACCAAUAUGGUUCACACCCCUCUUCGUGACAACAUCUCUUUUACCAGUAUAUAUCUACGACACAUACUGCCACAUAUGAGCGGUAUGUUCCACCUGUAUAUUCCACCUACAAGACCACCUUUAACAUGCCCGUCACAGUUAGAGUGCCCUAUGAGAUAGACAAAUGUCGAAAUGGAGAAAGAAUCAAAAUGCAAGGAAGAGGAGUCGGUGUCGGAACAACUACGAGUACUGAGGAAACAGAUGAAAAAUCUCCAAGUUGCUCGAGGAAGCGAGAGCUUGGAUUAUGAGGACAUGUGCAUACAUCCAGAUGUUGACAUGCCCAUGGGAUACAAGCCUCCAAAGUUUGAUAUUUUUUAUGGAACAAGCGAACCCCAUGCUCAUUUGAGGGUGUACUGUAACAAGUUGGUCAGAGUAAAGAGAAAUGAAAAGCUAAGAAUGAAACUGUUUAUAAGGAGUCUAACUGGAGAAGUACUUACUUGGUACACCGGACAAGACCCCAGGAAUUGGAGGGCGUGGUAGGACAUGGCUGAAGAUUUUAUGAAUCGCUUCAGAUUUAACACUGAAAUCUCUGGACGGAUUCGCUUUAGUGAAUCUACAAAAGAAGCCCUCUGAAUCAUUUCAAGAAUAUGAUCGUUGGAUGCUAGGACUUAACCUCUGUUGGAUGACAACGAGCUAACUAAGUAUUUUAUCCUUGCUCAAGAAGGGAUCUAUUUUGAAAUGAUAAUGGGUAUGAUAUGUCAGAAAUUCCUCGAGCUGGUCAAAAUGGGAGAUUUCUUGAAGGAAGGUAUCAAGUCAAGAAAGAUACAGUCAAUGGUCGCGCUACAAGAUGCUAGCAAGGCUAUAUAAUUUGGUUCCAAUGGUAGUGGUAAGAAUAAGAAAGAGGAAGUAACAACGAAUGUCCCUUACUAUCAGUCAAGUCCUCAUCGUCUAACCAUCUCCUACCCCACAAACACGCAUCCUCCACAUCAACCAUCUUAUACCCCAGUAUAUAACACCUAACUACAGUGCUCAAUCUCACUACAACCUAGCCUGAGCCAAUGUACAUCCAAACCCACCACGACCAUAUGCUCUAGUUCAAAUAACUACGCACCAAAAUAGACUUGCAUAUGCACCCAGGCCACGUCGAAACUUUAAAGAAAGAAAUCCUAGAAACUUAACUCCAAUUUUUGAGCAUUUAGCCCAAAUGUUCGAAAGGUUGAGGAGAGCCGGACUAAUAUACCCGGUCGAAGGAAAAAUCUCCGACCUUCUGUCAUGACCCAAACUGAUGGGUCGCGACGGGCACCCGGUACCUUACUCGAUCGAGUGCCAACAUAACGUAUCUUUUUGUAUCAUACUAUCAUAGAUAACUGAGCCAGAGAGGCUGCCGUGAGAUAAGUAGAAUACAACAUGAAAUACCAACUUAUACUUAAUACAUACGGGCCUAUAAGGCCAAAAUUAUCACUCUUACACUGAACAUAGGCCGACAAGGCCGUACAUUCUUUCACGUAUACGAUAUAUGUCUAAACGCCUCUAAGGAUACAUAACUGUUAUAAAGGUCGGGACAGAGCCUCGCCAUACCAAUCAACACAUGUCCUAAUCAUACUGACCAAUAGCAGCUCCGGAGCAAAUAGAGCGCACCAACAUCUUUCGCUGAGCUGAUAUCCUACUUGGAGGACUCUCGACCUAUCUAUCGAGACCUGCGAGCAUGAAACGCAGUGUCCCCAGGCAAAAGGAAUGUUAGUACCAAUAAUGUACCGAGUAUGUAAGGAAUAAAAAUCAGUAAAUAAUAGACAUGAGAGAAACAUGGAGUAAGAGACUCGACAUGUACGUCAGCAUUGCUCUGUGAAUCAUUUCAUUUUUAUAAUGUCAUGCAUAUGCGUAUAAAUAUCAUACCAUUCAUAGGUAUAUGCGUUCAUAACAUCAUCAAGCCUCUGAGGGCAUUCCAUCAAAUUAUUUCGACCACUGUGGGCAAAUCAUAAACGUAUACCAACUGAUCAGGUGGUGGUGCGUAUAUGACGCUGUAACCUUUUUUCAUAUCCCAUAUACAUAUAUAUACAUACAUAUACAUACAUAUACGCGUAUGUAGCGCCAUCUGGUCAUGGGUCAAUGUACAUGUAUAAAUGAAUGCAAUGCAUGAGAAGUACGUCAAUAAAAUUUUUCGGAAUGUCAUAAGACCAUUAUGUCUUUGAUUAAUAUCAUAAAAUAAACAUUAUUAACUUAUAUAUUUUCUGAGACCCAUGAACAGAUGAUAGAAUAAUAAGACACAUGGGGAAUCAAGAAUAUAGACUCCCCUAAUAUUUUUAUGAAUAGAGUCAUUUAUGAAAGUUGCGUAUUUUGCCCAUUUCGUUUGUAUCAUUUGGAUCACGCCAAAAAGAAAGAAGGGAUAGCCUUAACAUACCUGAACCGAUUCUCUUGAUAAUCCCUUUAACACCAUUGAUUGCGACAACGCGUAACGGCGGAUCAAAGUAGGAAAACAUCCGUAUGAUAUUCUUGAGAAAGAUUGCACCGUACUCCCUUAUAAUUGCAAAAUCUCACGUUGGUUAAGAUGCUAUGAAAUCUUGUUGAAUUGCCAUGAAAUCAUGUUGAAUUUGUUGAAGAUGCUAAAGUUCUCACGUUACCAAGUUAGAGAAGUCUUAUAAGUGAGUUGAAUUUGAAGAUUCACGUUACUUUGAAUGACUCUUAAGUUUUUCAGAUGUCUUAUGAUGUGGGCCCCACUUUAUGUGGUGGCUUAACCACAUAUCCUUAAUCUUUAGUCUUUCCACCUACUCAAUAAUGGCUUAAGAGUUAUAUAUAUUGGGGUGGCUUGCUGACACGUUGAUGCUUACCCAUUCUUAACCAAUUAACCACCAACACCUUAAUUAAUCACCCACUAAUUCUUAAUUAACUUAUUAAUUUUUUCCAUUAACCAAUUAUCCUCAUAAUUAAGAAUUAUCUCAAAUUACUUAAAAUACUACUCACUUUUAACAUACCUUAUACACCUUACUAUCAUGGUCAUGUAGUACCUUGUAUGGUACUAGUUCAUAAAUAUCGGGUAUUUUAGCUCGGGUCGUAUUUUAUCCAAAAUGUCAAACUUCGACGAAAUUUAUUUUCUUCGAUUUACUUACCCUCUCACCUUCAUGAAUUUACUUGUCACUUGUUUGAAAUAGCAUAAUGCUUAUAAUCUCAAAAUAAUCCCAUUCCCGAACUUACGUCGAUUAACUUACGAUGAAACUUUAACAUACAAAAAUGGGGGAUGCAAUAUCUCAUUUCCGAGCUUUCGUCAAUUUACUUAUGGCGUACUUUUACAUACAAAAAUAUAGGGUAUAACACCAUCCCUCCAAAUAUUUCGAUGCAAGCAAGCGAUGUGCCUAUCAUUCGCGUGUUCCUUGGCUUGACACCGAGGAUUGUUAUAGAUUAAAGAAUAAUAUCGAACUAUUGAUUAAGAGUGGAUCUAUCCAAUGCACUCCAGCACCACCAAAUAUAAAUCAUAACCCAUUGCCAAACCACAAAAAUCAAGGAUCUAACAUGAUCACAUUAGAUGAAGACUAUGACUUGAAAAGGACCAUCGUCACUAUCGGGAAUGACGAAGCUGCAAGAACACCCCCUCAGAUAAAUCCAUUAAUCACUAUGCAACUAAAUCCUCAUAUGAUAGUUCAUACAUACCAACAUCGGUCCACUACCACCGUUAGAGAUGAGGGGAGUCAAGAAUAUAAAAUAGUUUCAUGGACGUAGCAGUCAAAGGGAAAGGGCAAAAUUAUUAGAUCUAAGUUUCAAUGAUGAAAAAUAAUAUAUCUUUAUUCGUAGGUCCAUUCCAUAAGCAAUGGAGAAUGAGAGCAAGCCUUUCAAUGAUUUACCAAAGAAGACAAGAAAGGAAGGAGUAAAAGUAAAGAAAUAAAAGAUAUGCGAAAAUCUGACAACCUAGAUGACGGAGAAUCAGAAAGGAAGGUCUAAGAUUAGAGGAGUUUGAGGCUGCUAAGAUUCCAUCAAUCAAGAUCACUGAAGAUACGUGUCUCAAAGGAAAUCUAUCAAUCUUCAAAAUCAAUGUAUCAAUCUAGGGACUAUUUGCUUAAGGAGAUUCGCUCACAAAUGGAAAGUCCGCCGAUCAAGAUCCAAAACUAGAAAGCUCCAUACUUAUUCUUGGAAUGAAUCAAAACUGAUUCAACUCCAAUGAUCAAUUUCCUUAGGACUGCAAAUCUCUCAAAGAUCUGCCGCAAUCAAAUCAAAACAAAGUUCAAAGUGUAUAUAUUGUAAAACAACAAAGAGGAGAAAACAUACUUUGAUCAAACCAACUUCGUGUUCUUUGUUCUACUCUAAACAAGCAUUGUAAUCUAAGUGUAGUUUACUAUGUAGCUAUUAGAGAGAAGAAAAAGAGAAAAAUAUUGGUGAGGCAUUGUAUAAUGAUUACUACGAGUGUACUUAGAACCAAAAGAGAGUUGGCAUUCGAGAUAACAUAAACACAUUUGUACGAAGUUAUUCAAGGAGCUUUGAAGAGAGAACACCCUUGCAACUCAAGGGGACUGGAGUAGGAUUCACAUUGAAUCCGAACCAAUAUAAAAAUUAUGGGUGUCAAUUAAUUUCUACACUUUACAUUAUGUCUUUAAUUUUAUCUUGCUUAUACUUUCAGUCGACUACUUAUCUAUAAAAAGAAAAAUCGACAAUUCACCCCUCCCCCCUCCUGUACUUUCAAUUGGCACCAGAGCAUGUCUCACAUUGUGUUUUGCUUAACAACUGGUGAGAAAAGAUCAUGUCAAAUCAAGUAAUUGUCAGAGCUUUAUUCCAAGAAGGGACAUCACAAGUAAGGCCUCCAUAUUUCAAUGGACAACAGUUUUCACACUGGAAAGUUCGCAUGGAAAUCUAUACAAAAUCCUAUGAUGUCAAAGUAUGGCAUGUACUAAAAAAUGGUGACUAUCCAAUUCCAGCAGCAAAGUCUAAUAAGAAGGCAAAUGGACAAACAUCUACUGAACCCGUCGAUCUAGAUGAAUACACUGAUGAGCAAAUGGCAGUAGUACAAGUUAAUUCCAAGGCACGAAAUCAUCUAUACAGCGCAAUAAGUGGAGAGGAAUACGAGAAGAUAUCAAACUGUGAUAUUGCUAAAGAGAUGUAGGACAAAUUGGAAGUAAUUUAUGAAGGAAUGAACAAAGUUAAGGAGACUAGGAUAACUAUGUUGAUCCAUGACUAUGAACUAUUUCAAAUGAAAGAAGGUGAAUCCAUUGAGAAAAUAUUUCUCAGUUUUAGCAAAAUUAUUGGAGAUCUAAAGGCUUUUGGAAGACCAUACUCAAGCGGUGAGAAAGUUCAAAGAUUUUAAGAAGUCUACCUACUACUUGGAAAGCAAUAGUAGUAGCCUUGAAUCUCAUGAUUUGGACAAACUAUCAUAUGAUGAACUACGAGGAAUCUUAUUGCCUUUGAGAAAAAAACAUCUCACAAAAUGAGGACGGGAAGAAAAGAAGAAAAUUGUUGCUUUCAAAACCGCGAUAGAAGGAUCUGAAAAUGAAAAUGAAAAUGAAGAUGAAGAACUUGAAUAAGAGAUAGUAUGGUUUCCAAGACUGUAAAUGGGUUGAUGAGAAGAUACAAGAACACAAAAAGGGGAGAAUUUCUUCUAGAAGAAUAAGACAGUACAACGAACAAUAAAAGAGUGAUGGAAAAUACUAUGAAUAUGGAUACUAUGGUCAUAUACAACCCGAAUCCCCAAAUCUCAAGAGAAAAGCCUCGAGAGGAUUUAAUAAAAAUAAAUCAUUUGGAAGCUGGAGUGAUGAAGAUAGCUUAGAGCAUGAGAAAAUUGCAAAUCUAUGUUCCAUGACUAUAUUAGAGAAUGAUAUGAAUAAGUUCUCAGGAUUCUGGACAGAUGGAGAUGUAUCAUAUAACGACAGCAAGGAGACGACUGAAAACUACUUCAUGGCACGUGGUGAAACUAGUAAGGUAAGACCAUAUGAAUGUGAUAGAUGCAAUGAAUUACAAUAUACUCUUGAUCUCACCCUAAAAGAGUCUCAGAAGAUUUGAAACGAAUUAAGGAGACUGAAUAGAAAAAAGAAGGACUGGGAACUUAAACUUCAAGUAUGUGAAAUUGAAAGAGACGUACUUCAGUUCAGGAAUUACAAUUGCAACUCAAUGACUUGCGCAAAUCCACCAGUCAUAACUCUGUUAGGUCAAACCAAGCGACUUACAAGUCAUCUUGAAAAAGACCUGUUAAAACUAGAUUUACCAGUAUUGACACUAGCGUUAGAUCAAAAAUUGAAUCCACCCAUGUAUGUCAUUAUUGUAAAAGGACUGGUCAUAAGUACUCCUUUUGUAGAUUUCGUAAAUCAAAUAUUCCAGGAUGGAUUUGGAAGCCCAAAAACUGCCCUGAUAUUACUAUAACUAACCAACAAGGACACAAGCAAGCUUGGGUAGCUAAAAAAUAUAAUAAUUCUAUUUUGCAGGAAUACCACUGGAACAGUCAAAAAGGGAAAUGGUAUUUAGACAGUGCGUGUUCCAGUCACAUGACGGGAGACAAGAACUUAUUCAAAGAAGUCACAAAAAUAAAUGGAGAAAAUAUCAAAUUUGGUGAUUAUUCAAAAGAUAAAAUCGUUGGCACCAGUACUGUUCCAUUCAAUAACAACUGUGAUAUUGCUGAAGUGUAUCUAGUGGAUGGACUCAACUAUAAUCUUUUGAGAAUAAUCCAACUGUGUGAUUCUGGAUAUGAGGUCAAAUUCAAGAAAAGAAGUUGUGCAAUUGAAUAUGAGACAGGUAAAAUUAUUCUGCCAGAAAAAAGUAUGGAAAUGUUUAAAUUUUCGACUGCAUUGAAAAUUUAGACUGUCACUUUGUAUGGAAUAUAUAUUUGAGGAUCCUUGGAUUUGGCAUAAGAAACUUGUCCAUGCAAGCAUGUGCCUGGUUGAAAAACUCUUUAUGCAUGACCUAGUCAUUAGACUUCCUAAGCUAAACUUCUCUAGGAAUUAUGUAUGUGAUGCUUGUCAACUUAGAAAGAAAACUAGAAACUCAUUCAAAUCCAAGUAUAUUGUGUCCACGACCAAGCCCCUACAGGUGCUAUACAUGAGCUUAAUUGGGCCUACUAGAACUGCUAGCAUUGGAGGAAAAUGAUAUGCAUUCGUUAUUGUUGAUGACGACUAUCAUUUGUCACGAUCCAACUGGAGGGUCAUGACUAGCGCCCGGGCCAUACUUGCCGAGUACCAACGUACAUUUUAUCUAACCUUCCUUAUUAUCUUUAAGGGCCGACAAGAUCAAUAUAAAUGGUAGACAUGGAUCAUGAUCAUCCAAUAAUGAAAGAUAAUGGCAUGAACAUACAUAACAUGGUACAACAAGACUGUCAAGAAACUAUAUAUAAGGUACAAGCUACCAUGCUUCCAUGAAAGACUAUACAACAAAAAUCAACCGACAAGGCAUUCCAAACCAUACACGAGUCGACACCUGUCUAUGAGCCUUUAAAGGAACAUAAGUGCUGCAACAUUGCUGGAACAGGGCCCCGACAUACCCAUAAUAUCUAUAACAAAAAUGCAUACCAAGACCACGGCAAGUCUGAAGAAGGGAUCUCGCCAAUAACCGCUGAACUGGACAACCUACUGUGGUGGGGAACCUGCGUCUACCUGUCUAUCAGGACCUGCAGCACGACAUGCAGCGUCCAUAAAUAAAAAGGACGUCAGUACGAAUAAAGUACUGAGUAUGUAAGGCAGGAAAGCAUAAGUAAGAACAGUAAUGUAAAUAGGGAUAGAGAAUAUACAACCUGUGACAUCUGGGUACCUCUGAGGGCUAUUGACAUGAAAUACAUGAUACAUAUAUAUACAUAAACUUUUAAAACAUACGCCUCUAUGGGCAUCACCAUCAUCAUAUCGUACCCGGUUGUAAUAGGCUCGGUAAAACGUACCCGGCCAUCAUAGGGCUCGGUAGAAUCAUACCCGACCACGUGGAGCUCGGUAAAACCCUACUGAUCAGUGGUUGCAUAAUAGGUGUCAUACCCGGCCGACUAUAGCGCAGCUCAGUAGAUUAAAAUAGAUACAUAUAUAUGAUGCAUGCUAGUCUCAUUGAAAUCACAUUUUGAACCUUUCGGAGUGACGUAAGGUCGGUAUCCUUCGUACACGUUAUUAGGAUUAACUAUUCAUCAAGAAUCUUAUAAGAAUCAGGAAGUACCAACAACAUUGAUAACAUAAGAAUAAGAGAAGUAACAUCAACAUCAAUCGUUCCAUAAGAAGGGCAGCAAUGUAAGUACUGCUAGCUUCGAAGAGUAGAGUAUCUUUGGAAGCUCGUUCAUUACAUUAUGUACAAUCAGAGUCGUGCAAAAGAAUAAAGGGGAUAGCCGCACAUACCUUGUAUAUACUGCCCAACCUCAAGCUAUGCAAAUGUCACGACUNNNNNNNNNNNNNNNNNNNNNNNNNCAUCCCAAACAACAUCAACAAUAAUCAUAUUGAGCCUCCCAAAACAGUCCACCAACCAACAACAUUACUACCAAGCCUUUCGAUAUAUAUUUGACAAGUUCUAGCUUCAACGACUAAGCCGCAACUUGGAUAAUCUUAAAUACAUGUAGAGUAUGAGGUUCCUUACCUUUAAAUGGAAAUAAAAACUCCAAUUUUACCUUAAUUUUCCACGAAAUAUCCCUCCAAUUCUGCCACAAGAACAAGGAAACGAAACUAGCAAUCAAUUCGGGUGUUUCGGCACUAGAAUUACUUUAGAAGGCUUGAAAUCACCUAGGGUUGAUAUUAAAAACUUGAGGUAGUAUUUACAGAACAUAUAACACUUAAAAAACCUCCCACACAAACUAGAACAACACAAAAAUCAGCAACAACAAGAAGAACAAGAAACUUACUAGCGCUACGGGAUUCCCGACACUUGAUUUGUGUUAUUUGCCCUUUGUUUGGGUCUUGGAUCAUGAGAGAACCUUGAGAGAAUGUUUUUAGGGUUCUAAGGUCUGAAUAUACUAUAAAAGAAUGACUUCAAACGGGUUUGAGGCAUCUUAUAUAUAUCCAUAUGUCUUAAAUCGGCUAUGUGGGCCCCAUAGAGUGCUGCUUGGCGCAGUCUAGCGAAAACGCGAAUAUCUCUCUAUUCCAAGAUUGUAUCGAUGAAGGUUUAAUGUGUUGGAAACUAGACUCAUAGAUCUUCCAUUUGGUGGGUAGAUCACCCCAUAAUUCCAAGUACAUUGGGAUAAAAACGUAGUAACAUUUGACCAAAAGUUUAAGUAAAAUUNNNNNNNNNNNNNNNNNNNNNNNNNNNNNNNNNNNNNNNACUUCUUAUCAUCUAAAAGAUAAUCUCUUCUUGGAUUUACGUCGACUAACUUACGGUGUGAUCUAAGGUACGUGAAUUUGGGUUGUAACAUCAUUUCACAUGGAUAAUAUUCCUAUCUCACAAACAUGAAGCUUUGAAAAACAUUGAGAUCUUUUGGAAAAGAGUUGAAAGAGAAAAUGGACAUCUCAUUUCAACCAUACAAAGUGACCAUGGAGGCGAAUUUGAAAGAAGAUCAUUUGAAGAAUUCUGCAAUGAUAUACUAACAAUUUCUCAGCCCCAACAUCACCUCAACAAAAUGGAGUGGUGGAACACAAGAAUAGAAUCUUGCAAGAUAUGGCCAGAAUAAUGAUAUUAGAGCACUCACUACCAAACCACUUUUGGGCAGAAAUAGUAAGCACAACAUGUUAUAUCCUCAACAGAUGUCUCAUACGGCCAAUUCUAAAAAGACUCCAUACGAGCUGUGAAAAGGUAAAAGGCCUAACAUAGGCUACUUUCACCCUUUCGGAAGUAAACGCUUCAUUCAUAAAAAUGAUAAGGACAACCUUGGUAAUUUCAACCUAAGGAGUGAUGAAGGUACAUUUCUUGGUUAUUCAAUUAAUAGUAGAUCAUUUAGAGUUUACAACAAAUGUGCAUUAUGUGUAAAAGAGUCAGUCUAUGAUAUCUUUGAUGAUAAUAACUCUAUAGCAGAGAAAGGAAUCAUUGCUUGUGAUGAAGAUACAAAUUAGGAUGUAUCGAAGACAACUGGGCCUCAGGAAUAACAGAAACCCACAGAUAGCAGCAGCGAGCCUAUAGAGUUAACUAAUGAAUCUAUCAAUAACCAUAUUGAACCUCAGAAGGAGUCAACUACUCAGCCUGCUGAAAUAAGACCAAAUGAAUGGAGAAGUGAGCUUGAAUAUCCAUAGAAGUUCAUUAUAGGAAAUCCAAAUGAUGGAGUAAAAACUAGGUUAACCCUCAAGAAAAAAGCCAACAUCACACUUAUCUCUCAAAUUGAACCAAAGAAGGUUGAUGAAUCCUUAAAGGACUUCAUCUGGGUACAAGCCAUGCAAAAUGAACUUAAUCAAUUUGACAAAAUUUAAGUAUGGAAGUUAGUGCCUAAGCCAGAAAAUGAUACAAUUGUUGGAACCAAAUAAGGAUUUAGAAAUAAGUUGAAUGAGGAUGGAAAGGUAAUUAGGAACAACGCCAGAUUGGUGGCUCAAGGCUACUUACAAUAGGAAGGAGUCGACUAUGGUAAAACCUUCGCUACGGUAGCCCGAUUAGAAUCAAUUCGUAUAUUGCUUGGAUAUGCAUCUUUUAAAGGCUUUAAAUUUUUUCAAAUGGAUGUUAAGAGUGCUUUCUUAAAUGGUUUUAUUGAUGAUGAGGUAUAUGUAAAAUAACCUCCUGGAUUUGAGAACUCACAAUAUCCUUACCAUGUGUAUAAGUUGACUAAGGCCCUCUAUGGACUCAAGCAAGCCCCUCGAGUUUGGUAUGAAAGGCUAAGCUCAUUCCUAACCGAUCAUGGAUUCACGAGAAGUAAAGUAGAUACUACAUUAUUUAACAAACGAUCCUAUGAAGGUAAUCUCAUUAUUCAAAUUUAGGUCGAUGAUAUUAUUUUUGGUAGUGCCAACUCUCUUUUGUGUAAGGAAUUCUCAAAUCUCAUGCAGAGUGAGUACAAAAUGAGUAUAAUGGGAGAACUCACAUUUUUUCUUGGACUCCAAAUUUUGUAAUCAGAGAAAGGCACAUUUAUCUAUCAGACCAAGUACGCUAAGGAGUUGAUUCAAAAAAUCGGCAUGAGUAAUACUAAAGCAAUUGGAACACCCAUGAGCCCUUCAAUAAAUCUUGACAAAGAGGAGAAAGGAAAUCCAGUGGAUGAAACUAAGUACUGUGGGAUGAUUGGGUCUUUGCUUUACUUAACUGCUAGUCAACCAGAUAUCAUGUUCAAUGAGUGUAAAUGUGCCAGGUUUUAGUUAGCUCCUAAGGAAUCAAACUUGACUGCAGUAAAGCGAAUAAUUUUCUAUCUUAUCGGAACUAACUCUCAUGGACUAUGGUAUCCACGUUUUAACAAUUAUAAACUUGAAGGUUUUUCAGAUGUUGAUCCUGCAGGGGAUAAAGAAGACAUAAAAAGCACCAGUGGGACAUGUCAAUUACUGGAAAACGUAUAAAUUUCAUAUAACAACAAGAAACAAGGAUCAACAGCUUUGUCCACAACAGAAGCAGAAUAUAUUGCUACUGGAAAAUGUUGUGCUCAAUUACGUUUGAUAUCUCAUCAAUUGGGUGACUGACUAUGAACUGUAAUUUAAACCUAUUCAAAUAUUUUGUGACAACUCUAGUGCUAUAUGUCUCUCCAAGAACCAUAUGCAUCAUUCUAGGGAUAAUCAUAUAGAUAUUAAGAAUCAUUUUAUUAGAGAUCAUAUUCUUAAAGGAGAUAUAUAAUUGUUGUUUGUCAGCACAAUUGAUCAAUUAGCAAAUAUUUUCACGAAACCCUUGCUUGAAGAUAAAUUUUGUGUUUUAAGGGAAUCACUUGGCAUUAUUUCACUUAGUACCAAAAAUUAGGACCUUAGUGUUACUAAAUAUUUCUUUCUAUCAUUUUUUAUUAUUUACUUAUGUGUGUAAGAAGUCAUUAAUUAUGCGCCUCCGUUUUUCCUCCUUUCACAUCCAUCAAAACUCUCUAGAAAGGAAAAUCAAUCAUCAUGUUCUUUCACUGACGCCUUUUUGUUUUUUGUACUCAACCGUCUAACUCAUUCUUUUUAACUUUCUCAAUCACUCUCACUUUCUCUCAUUGUUACAAUUGCUCAGAAACCCUUUCUCUAAACUCAUCAGUGGCAAAAAAUUCCAUAAACCCCUCUGCCUCCACUCGAAAGAGUACUAAUUCCAAGGCAAAACUCUCUUCAAAACCCCCAAAACUAGUUGAUUUAGGAUCAGAUCACUCCAAAGACCUUUCCUCUUCUCAGGCAGAGCUCUCCAAUGAUGCGCGUAGCCUGAAUGAGAAAGCUCUAGGGAAAUGACCCAUGGAAGAAAGUCCUGAGUCUUUCACUCCAAAGAAGCCCAAAGCAGACCUAUCAAGUUUUUUAGAGUCUGACAUCAAUUUCUGGGACACCCCAAACAGAGACACCUUCAUUACAUUCAAGGAAAAGACAAUAGCCUGUUUGCAGGGUGAUCGAUUUGAACGACAUGGAACCUCCCAUCUGCAAGGUAAGGGAACUUUUCUAUUUCCAAGGUUGGUCAAACUUUCUUUUGUUGCCUCCCCCAAAAGUCUAUGAAGCCCUAGUUAGGAUGUUUUAUGCAAAUCUUCAUUCCCCUAAGCCUGAUAAGUUAUAAUCUCUAGUUCUGGGAAAGCGCAUUGUUCAAGAUUGUGUCUUGUUUGAUUCAAUUUUUCAGUGUAAGUGUUCUGGAUACUCUAUGGUGUUCAAAAAUACCUGGCCUGAAGACUUUGAAAUUUUCUUCGAUCAAGCAAAGUGUUGCAUAUCUGAGUCUCCCUUUGAUUCUCUUCCCAGUCAGUUAGGUCCCACUGAUGUUAGCUUUGAAACCCGGGUCCUCGCACACAUUGUGGCAACAACCCUUCUUCGUCGCAUUGGUUCAUUAUCUACCUUUUCCCAACAGGAUAUCUUUCUUGUUUAUUACCUAGUGACCAAGCAUAAAGUUAAGUUAUCCACCUGAGUUAUAAACUUCAUGAUUGAAAGUGCUGAUGAUCCCACAAACCUUCCCUAUGGUAUGGUUAUCACUCAUCUCCUCAAAGCCCACAACAUCUCUCUUUCUAACUACCCUUUUGUCUCAGUCACCAGAUCCUACACCUUCAGAGACUCUGCUAGUAUGGGAUAUGUUGGUGUGAAAGUUACUUGGGUGAAGAAGCAAGAAGGAGAGGCUAAGGAUGUUCAAACUGAAUCAAAGGCCAAAGUAUCUGGUUUCCAUCCUAGUGUUUGUGAUCCUAAUCUUGUGAAAAAGUUAACUGCUAUUGACAACAAGCUGACCAUCAUCAAGGAUCUUCUAGUCUCUACUCAAUCAACCAUUGGAGAUAUUCAUGACAUCUCAAAGGAACAUGCUAUGAUGUAUCAAAGAUAAGGGUCAAGAUUCUCAAGUUUGCAGUGAACACAGUGAAAGCCUUCAAGGAAGUGCAUGAUAGGAUCGAUAGGGUAUCAGUUAUAGUGAAUACUACCAUUGAUCAUCUAAAGGAGGCUAUCUGCAAUACUCUUACUUAUUUUUUGUGUCGCUAAUUUGCGAAUGGGUGGAUGUUUAAGAUAAUUUUUUGUUUUUUUGGGACUGAUCUUCUAGUCUUUGGCUGUUUUGUUAAGACAAUCAUUGUAGUAGCAUGACUAUCACUGCACUAUUGCUUGUUUUAAUAUAUUUUUGUCAGUAUUGUGCUUUUUGUUGAUGGCAACGGGGGAGAAAUAAGUAAAGUGAAUAGGUACCAGGUACAAUUUUUUAUGGCUGCCCUGUUGAGGGCGAGUCGACUAUCACACGGCCAAGUGAAGAUAUCUAGUUGAGGGGGAGUCGACUACAACAAGAAAAAAGUCACUAAAAAGGGAAGUAAAUUACUUUUAUUUGUUAUUUUGUCA